rfam:Otolemur garnettii contig096285, whole genome shotgun sequence.
GCCAGGCGUUGUGGCGGGUGCCUGUAGUCCCAGCUACUUGGGAGGCUGAGGCAGGAGACUUGCUUGAGCCCAGGAGUUGGAGGUUGCUGUGAGCUGUGAUGCCAUGGCACUCUACCCAGGGGGAUAGCUUGAGGCUCCGUCUCAAAAAAAAAAAAAAAAAAAGAAUUGUAAAAGAAAUAAAUAGUAAUGGAAAAAUAAUGAGAACUGGGUGUUUUUUGUUUUGUUUUGUUUUUUUGAGACAGAGCCUCAAGCUGUCCCCCUGGGUAGAGUGCCAUGGAUCACAGCUCACAGCAACCUCCAACUCCUGGGCUCAAGUGAGUCUCCUGCCUCAG